rnacentral:tRNA from 1 species
CAGGAUAUAGCUUAAAUUAAAGCAUUUUGCUUACACCAAAAAAAUACCCACGCCCGGGUUAUCCUG